rnacentral:rRNA from 1 species
UUAAGCGACUAAGCGUACACGGUGGAUGCCCUGGCAGUCAGAGGCGAUGAAGGACGUGCUAAUCUGCGAAAAGCGUCGGUAAGGUGAUAUGAACCGUUACAGCCGGCGAUGUCCGAAUGGGGAAACCCAGUGCAAUUCGUUGCACUAUCGUUUGAUGAAUACAUAGUCAAACGAGGCGAACCGGGGGAACUGAAACAUCUAAGUACCCCGAGGAAAAGAAAUCAACCGAGAUUCCCCCAGUAGCGGCGAGCGAACGGGGAGCAGCCCGGAGUCUGAAUCAGCUUGUGUGUUAGUGGAAGCGUCUGGAAAGUCGCAGGGUACAGGGUGAUACUCCCGUACACUAAAACGCACAGGUUGUGAACUCGAAGAGUAGGGCGGGACACGUGGUAUCCUGUCUGAAUAUGGGGGGACCAUCCUCCAAGGCUAAAUACUCCUGACUGACCGAUAGUGAACCAGUACCGUGAGGGAAAGGCGAAAAGAACCCCGGCGAGGGGAGUGAAAAAGAACCUGAAACCGUGUACGUACAAGCAGUAGGAGCCCACUAGUUGGGUGACUGCGUACCUUUUGUAUAAUGGGUCAGCGACUUAUAUUCUGUAGCAAGGUUAACCGUAUAGGGGAGCCGCAGGGAAACCGAGUCUUAACUGGGCGUUAAGUUGCAGGGUAUAGACCCGAAACCCGGUGAUCUAGCCAUGGGCAGGUUGAAGGUUGGGUAACACUAACUGGAGGACCGAACCGACUAAUGUUGAAAAAUUAGCGGAUGACUUGUGGCUGGGGGUGAAAGGCCAAUCAAACCGGGAGAUAGCUGGUUCUCCCCGAAAGCUAUUUAGGUAGCGCCUCGUGAACUCAUCUUCGGGGGUAGAGCACUGUUUCGGCUAGGGGGUCAUCCCGACUUACCAACCCGAUGCAAACUACGAAUACCGAAGAAUGUUAUCACGGGAGACACACGGCGGGUGCUAACGUCCGUCGUGAAGAGGGAAACAACCCAGACCGCCAGCUAAGGUCCCAAAGUCAUGGUUAAGUGGGAAACGAUGUGGGAAGGCCCAGACAGCCAGGAUGUUGGCUUAGAAGCAGCCAUCAUUUAAAGAAAGCGUAAUAGCUCACUGGUCGAGUCGGCCUGCGCGGAAGAUGUAACGGGGCUAAACCAUGCACCGAAGCUGCGGCAGCGACGCUUAUGCGUUGUUGGGUAGGGGAGCGUUCUGUAAGCCGUUGAAGGUGGCCUGUGAGGGUUGCUGGAGGUAUCAGAAGUGCGAAUGCUGACAUAAGUAACGAUAAUGCGGGUGAAAAACCCGCACGCCGGAAGACCAAGGGUUCCUGUCCAACGUUAAUCGGGGCAGGGUGAGUCGACCCCUAAGGCGAGGCCGAAAGGCGUAGUCGAUGGGAAACAGGUUAAUAUUCCUGUACUUGGUGUUACUGCGAAGGGGGGACGGAGAAGGCUAUGUUGGCCGGGCGACGGUUGUCCCGGUUUAAGCAUGUAGGCGGAUGUUCCAGGUAAAUCCGGAACGUCAUUAACGCUGAGGUGUGAUGACGAGGCACUACGGUGCUGAAGUGACAAAUGCCCUGCUUCCAGGAAAAGCCUCUAAGCAUCAGGUAACAUCAAAUCGUACCCCAAACCGACACAGGUGGUCAGGUAGAGAAUACCAAGGCGCUUGAGAGAACUCGGGUGAAGGAACUAGGCAAAAUGGUGCCGUAACUUCGGGAGAAGGCACGCUGAUGGUAGGUGAAGUGACUUGCUCACGGAGCUGAAAUCAGUCGAAGAUACCAGCUGGCUGCAACUGUUUAUUAAAAACACAGCACUGUGCAAACACGAAAGUGGACGUAUACGGUGUGACGCCUGCCCGGUGCCGGAAGGUUAAUUGAUGGGGUUAUCCUCGCGGAGAAGCUCUUGAUCGAAGCCCCGGUAAACGGCGGCCGUAACUAUAACGGUCCUAAGGUAGCGAAAUUCCUUGUCGGGUAAGUUCCGACCUGCACGAAUGGCGUAAUGAUGGCCAGGCUGUCUCCACCCGAGACUCAGUGAAAUUGAACUCGCUGUGAAGAUGCAGUGUACCCGCGGCAAGACGGAAAGACCCCGUGAACCUUUACUAUAGCUUGACACUGAACACUGGUCCUUGAUGUGUAGGAUAGGUGGGAGGCUUUGAAGUGUGGACGCCAGUCUGCAUGGAGCCAUCCUUGAAAUACCACCCUUUAAUGGCUGGUGUUCUAACGUGGGCCCCUAAUCGGGGUUGCGGACAGUGUCUGGUGGGUAGUUUGACUGGGGCGGUCUCCUCCUAAAGAGUAACGGAGGAGCACGAAGGUCAGCUAAUCCUGGUCGGACAUCAGGAGGUUAGUGCAAUGGCAUAAGCUGGCUUGACUGCGAGCGUGACGGCGCGAGCAGGUGCGAAAGCAGGUCAUAGUGAUCCGGUGGUUCUGAAUGGAAGGGCCAUCGCUCAACGGAUAAAAGGUACUCCGGGGAUAACAGGCUGAUACCGCCCAAGAGUUCAUAUCGACGGCGGUGUUUGGCACCUCGAUGUCGGCUCAUCACAUCCUGGGGCUGAAGUAGGUCCCAAGGGUAUGGCUGUUCGCCAUUUAAAGUGGUACGCGAGCUGGGUUUAGAACGUCGUGAGACAGUUCGGUCCCUAUCUGCCGUGGGCGCUGGAGAAUUGAGGGGGGCUGCUCCUAGUACGAGAGGACCGGAGUGGACGCAUCACUGGUGUUCGGGUUGUCAUGCCAAUGGCAUUGCCCGGUAGCUAAAUGCGGAAGAGAUAAGUGCUGAAAGCAUCUAAGCACGAAACUUGCCCCGAGAUGAGUUCUCCCUGACCCUUUAAGGGUCCUGAAGGAACGUUGAAGACGACGACGUUGAUAGGCCGGGUGUGUAAGCGCAGCGAUGCGUUGAGCUAACCGGUACUAAUGAACCGUGAGGCUUAACCUU